rnacentral:lncRNA from 1 species
GCAAAAAUACCUAGCAUUUUCUCAUGAUUUUCGUUAUACCCAUUAAUGUUAGAACUAGAAAACCAUAUAAAUUGCUAUGAUUCUUCCUAGGUCCGAAAUAGGGUUUAUGUUUGGGAUUUCAAGAGAGAUUUUGGUAUCAUUUUGAACUUAAGUAUAUUUGUGUAGCUCUAUGAUUCAUUGAUUAAUUUGAUUUGGAUAACAUUGUUUACUCAAGUUUUAUUGAUCUUAGUCCUACUGCUGAGAUGGUUGUUGUGAUACGUUGAUGGCCGAUUGGGUGAUUGAUAUCAAAUUGUUGAGGUAUUUUAGUGAUUUUUCAUCCGCGGUGUUUUCUCAUGAUUUCGUUAUACCCAUUAAUGUUAGAACUAGAAAACCAUAUAAAUUGCUAUGAUUCUUUAGGUCCGAAAUUAGGUUUAUGUUUGGGAUUUGGGGCUUUUGCCAUGUUGUACGGUUGAUGGCCGAUUGGGUGAUUGAUAUCAAAUUGUUGAGGUAUUUUAGUGAUUUUUCAUGUGAAUGAUUAUUUACUAAAUGUGUGUUUUGUGGAUAUCUCGUCUUCUUCUCCUCUGCUCCUCCUCUUGUAGCAGAUUCACAGUUCCUGUCAUCACUUGCCUUCAUGCCAACAGCUAGAGAUGUUUGUCAUUUUGAACUUAAGUAUAUUUGUGUACUCUAUGAUUCAUUGAUUAAUUUGAUUUGGAUAACAUUUUGGUUAGCUCAAGUUUAUUGAUCUUAGUCCUACUGCUGAGAUUGUGUGAUUUGUCCUCGCCAGGUUUGUAAGACCAUAGAUUGGUGUUUCUCAUUUGUUGCUUGUUAUAUGAAUAUGUAGUCUUGUGCUGAGAUCCUCGUUGUAGAGCUGGUGCAGGAGCAUCCUACUAUGGCCUUGGGGGUUUUGUAGCAGCUGGUGCAGGAGCAUCCUUCUCCGGCCUUGGGGGUAAUAAUAUUGUUAGCCUCUGAAUGAAAGACCGUGAGUUUGAGAGAGAUGCAGAAAAUUAUGAAGAAGAAAAUAGGUUUUCGGCCAUGGUUGUUGUGAGGUAAAAUCUCUAGCUUCCCUUGUUUUCGUUUUACCCAUUGAUUAUAAAGCACGAAAAUCGUAUUAAUUGCUAUAUAUGUGUUGGUCCGAAAUCUAGGGUUCAUGUUAGAGUUUUAGUUAUACCUAGCAUUUUCGCCCAUGGGUUGUUGGAGGUAAAAUACCUAGCAUUUUCUCAUGAUUUCGUUAUACCCAUUAAUGUUAGAACUAGAAAACCAUAUAAAUUGCUAUGAUUCUUCCUAGGUCGAAAUUAGGGUUUAUGUUUGGGAUUUGGGGCUUUUGCCAUGUUGUACGGUUGAUGGCCGAUUGGGUGAUUGAUUCAAAUUGUUGAGGUAUUUUAGUGAUUUUUCAUGUGAAUUGAUUAUUUACUAAAUGUGUGUUUUGUGGAUAUCUCGUCUUCUUCUCUGCUCCUCUCUCUUGUAGCAGAUUCACAGUUCCUGUCAUCACUUGCUUCAUGCCAACAGCUAGAUGCCUCGCCAGGUUUUGUAGCAGCUGGUGCAGGAGCAUCCUACUAUGGCCUUGGGGGUUUAGAAGAUGUGAUGGCAGCUGGUGCAGGAGCAUCCUACUAUGGCCUUGGGGGUUUUGUAGCAGCUGGUGCAGGAGCAUCCUUCUCCGGCCUUGGGGGUAAUAAUAUUGUUAGCCUCUUUUGGAUUUACUCACAUAUCAUUAUUUUGUUCAUUUUUAGUUUAAAUUGAGUUAUCUAUAAAGACCAUAGAUUGGUGUUUCUCAUUUGUUGCUUGUUAUAUGAAUAUGUCUUGUUGCUGAGAUUUUGGUAUCAUUUUGAACUUAAGUAUAUUUGUGUAGCCUAUGAUUCAUUGAUGGGUUUUGUAGCAGCUGGUGCAGGAGCAUCCUAAUUUGAUUUGGAUAACAUUUGGUUUAGCUCAAGUUUUAUUGAUCUUAGUCCUACUGCUGGAUUUGUGUAUGUCCUCGCCAGGUUUUGUAGCAGCUGGUGCAGGAGCAUCCUACUAUGGCCUUGGUUCUCCGGCCUUGGGGGUAAUAAUAUUGUUAGCCUCUGCUCGUUUUGAACUUUAGUAUA